CUUCCCAUAAACCUUCUCUCCUUCCUCCUCACCGUCUCCCCCAGAUUUGCCUCCCCAGAUUCCGUCCCGCUUCGCCUCGCCGGCCGCCGCCGCCGCCCGCGCGCAGCCCUCCCACCGGGGCACGCCCGCCGGCUUUCAAUUGGAGGAAUUCGGAUCUCCUCCUCCUCCUCUGCUGGGCUUGCUUGGAGCGGAGAUCCGCCGGGACCUCAGUUUUCG
rnacentral:rRNA from 1 species